UGGGGGAUAUUGCACAAUGGGCGCAAGCCUGAUGCAGCGACGCCGCGUGGGGGAUGAAGGCCUUCGGGUUGUAAACUUCUUUUGCUCUGAACAAGGCGCACUUUGGGGUGUGUUGAGUGUAGGGGUUGAUUAGCGCCGGCUAACUACGUGCCAGCAGCCGCGGUAAUACGUAGGGCGCGAGCGUUGUCCGGAAUUAUUGGGCGUAAAGGGGUUGUAGGUGGCUGGUUGCGUCUGUCGUGAAAGCUCAUGGCUUAACUGUGGGGUGGCGGUGGGUACGGGCUGGCUUGAGUGCAGUAGGGGAGGCUGGAAUUCCGGGUGUAGCGGUGGAAUGCGCAGAUAUCAGGAGGAAUACCGGUGGCGAAGGCGGGUCUCUGGGCUGUUACUGACACUGAGGAGCGAAAGCAUGGGGAGCGAACAGG
rnacentral:rRNA from 1 species